rnacentral:rRNA from 1 species
GCGUAUAUUAAAGUUGUUGCAGUUAAAACGCUCGUAGUCGGGUUUCGGGUCGGGCCGAGCGGUCUGCCGAUGGGUAUGCACUGUUUGGCGCGGCCUUCUUUCCGGAGACCGCGGCUACUCUUAACUGAGCGGGCGUGGGAGACGGAUCGUUUACUUUGAAAAAAUCAGAGUGUUUCAAGCAGGCAGCUCGCUCUUGCAUGGUACAGCAUGGGAUGAUUGAAUAGGACUCCGGUGCUAUUUUGUUGGUUUCGAACACCAGGAGUAAUGAUUAACAGGGACAGUCAGGGGCACUCGUAUUCAGUCGAGAGAGGUGAAAUUCUCAGACCAAUGGAAGACGAACCACUGCGAAAGCAUUUGCCAGGGAUGUUUUCACUGA